CGAACGGGUGAGUAACACGUGGGCAACCUGCCCAAAANAGGGGGAUAACACUUGGAAACAGGUGCUAAUACCGCAUAACCAUAGUUACCGCAUGGUAACUAUGUAAAAGGUGGCUAUGCUACCGCUUUUGGAUGGGCCCGCGGCGCAUUAGCUAGUUGGUGGGGUAAAGGCUUACCAAGGCAAUGAUGCGUAGCCGAACUGAGAGGUUGAUCGGCCACAUUGGGACUGAGACACAGCCCAAACUCCUACGGGAGGCAGCAG
rnacentral:rRNA from 1 species